ACGUGAGAAAAUAAUAUUUCAUGUUUAGUGCACAGUAAUAAAUUGCAUUGAAAUAACAACAAAGUGAAGAACCAAAUUUGUUUGUGUUACGCUUAUAAGAGGUUAAUUGUAAUUUCGUUGAAUUUAAAGAAGUUUGCCUG
rnacentral:sRNA from 1 species